rnacentral:rRNA from 1 species
AGCGAACGCUGGCGGCAGGCUUAACACAUGCAAGUCGAGCGGGCAUCUUCGGAUGUCAGCGGCAGACGGGUGAGUAACACGUGGAAACGUACCCUUCGGUUCGGAACAACUCUGGGAAACUGGAGCUAAUACCGGAUACGCCCUUAUGGGGAAAGGUUUACUGCCGAAGGAUCGGCCCGCGUCUGAUUAGCUAGUUGGUGGGGUAACGGCCUACCAAGGCGACGAUCAGUAGCUGGUCUGAGAGGAUGAUCAGCCACACUGGGACUGAGACACGGCCCAGACUCCUACGGGAGGCAGCAGUGGGGAAUAUUGGACAAUGGGCGAAAGCCUGAUGCAGCCAUGCCGCGUGAGUGAUGAAGGCCUUAGGGUUGUAAAGUUCUUUUGUCCGGGACGAUAAUGACGGUACCGGAAGAAUAAGCCCCGGCUAACUUCGUG